GAUCUUGUCUCUCUGUUCCUCUGUAGUCCUCUGUAGUAGAUCUUGUCUCUCUGUUCCUCUGUAGUCCUCUCUCUGUACUGAGUAGAUCUUGUCUCUCUGUAGUCCUCUGUAGUCCUCUCUCUGUACUGCGUAGAUCUUGUCUCUCUGUUCCUCUGUAGUCCUCUCCAUGUAGUGAUUACAUUCAGUCUGACUCAGAGCUCCAGUAUGAAGUCAUACUAAUGUUUUAACGACGAGGGAGGCUGGACAAUGUUAGGAAUUCUAGCCUUGGUUUGACUCCACACAUAGGACAUAACCCAAUAUAGACCUAUACUGUUCAAUGUUUCAAUGAAACAGCAGGCCUUUACUUUAUUUAGAUUUAUUUAACGAGGCAAGUCAGUUAUGAACAAAGUCUUAUUUACACGGACGGCCUACCCCGGGCCAAACCCGGACGACGCUGGGCCGAUUGUGCGCCACGCCCUAUGGGACUCUCAAUCACGACCGGUUGUGAAACAGCCUGGAAUCGAACCAGGGUCGGUAGUGACGCCUCUAGCACUGAGAUGCAGUGCCUUUGACCGCUGCGCCACUCGGGAGCCCUAAAUGUUAAAUGACAUCGUGAAACAAGCUGUGAAGGAGUACAGGAACAUCUACCCUGAGACGUGUGUUUGAGACAGUGUUUGGUCUGAAGCUGGUGGAGAUCGACUCUAAGAACCACGUCUACAUCCUCAUCAACAAACUGGAGCAGCUAGAGGGAGAAUCUCUCAACAUGUAGAUCACUGUGUGGAAAGACUAGAGGGAGAAUCUCUCAACAUGUAGGUCACUGUGUGGAAAGACUAGAGGGAGAAUCUCUCAACAUGUAGGUCACUGUGUGGAAAGACUAGAGGGAGAAUCUCUCAAGAUGGAGGUCACUGUGUGGAAAGACUAGAGGGACAAUCUCUCAACAUGUAGGUCACUGUGUGGAAAGACUAGAGGGAAAAUCUCUCAACAUGUAGGUCACUGUGUGGAAAGACUAGAGGGACAAUCUCUCAACAUGUAGGUCACUGUGUGGAAAGACUAGAGGGAAAAUCUCUCAAGAUGGAGGUCACUGUGUGGAAAGACAAGAGGGAGAAUCUCUCAACAUGUAGGUCACUGUGUGGAAAGACUAGAGGGAGAAUCUCUCAAGAUGGAGGUCACUGUGUGGAAAGACUAGAGGGAGAAUCUCUCAAGAUGUAAGCCCCAGGAAGACACCCCCUCCCCUACAGGAAGACUCCAAGCAGACACCCCCUCCCCUACAGGAAGACACCCCCUCCCCUACAGGAAGACUCCAGGAAGACACCCCCUCCCCUACAGGAAGACUCCAGGAAGACACCCCCUCCCCUGCAGGAAGACCGCAGGAAAACAUCCCCUCCCCAACAGGAAGACACCCCCUCUCCUACAGGAAGACACCCCUCCCCUACAGGAAGACACCCCUCUCCUACAGGAAGACACCCCCUCCCCUACAGGAAGACACCCCCUCCCCUACAGGAAGACACCCCCUCUCCUACAGGAAGACCCCAAGAAGACACCCCCUCUCCCACAGGAAGACACCCCCUCUCCUACAGGAAGAUCCCAGGAAGACACCCCUCCCCCACAGGAAGAUCCCAGGAAGACACCCCCUCCCCUACAGGAAGAUCCCAGGAAGAC
rnacentral:lncRNA from 1 species